rnacentral:lncRNA from 1 species
UCCAUGAUCUUCUAGAUAGUGAAAAUGUCGGCAAGCCUGAGAAGAAGCCAGUCAUCUCUGAUGCUCUCCUGAAAUCUAUUGCAUCCAAGGCAAAACCAUCUGUCUCUGAUGCUGAAAAGCAGCGAUUAUACGACAUCUACAGUCAGUUUUUGGAUGCAAAAAGAUCAGUGGCUGUACAGGUGCGGUGUUCUUUGCUUAAAGCUAGAGUGGCAGAUGAUUUACCUCCCUCUAUCGCUUGCUAGUAUGAUAACAAGCGAUUAUACAACAUCUACAGUCAGUUUCUGGAUGCAAAAAGAUCAGUGGCUGCACAGGUCUGGUGUUCUUUGCUUAAAGCU